rnacentral:sRNA from 1 species
AGGAAUGAUCAUGUGAGCAAGCAUAAUACUUCACAAUAUGAUAGUAGAGGAUGAACGAGAUAGGUACACUAACUUUGAUGCAUCUCAACUCACACAACAAGAAUCAACCAGCUCUUCACAAGUGGAUUUCAACUAUUCUACAUAUAUGCCUUCAAAUCUCGGUAUUAU